UACGAAGGGUGCAAACGUUGCUCGGAAUUAUUGGGCGUAAAGCGCACGUAGGCGGCUUAGCAAGUCGGAAGUGAAAUCCCACGGCUCAACCAUGGAAGUGCUUUCGAAACUGCUGAGCUUGAGUACGAAAGAGGAUCGCGGAAUUCCCGGUGUAGAGGUGAAAUUCGUAGAUAUCGGGAGGAACACCAGUGGCGAAGGCGGCGAUCUGGGUCGAUACUGACGCUGAGGUGCGAAAGCGUGGGGAGCGAACAGG
rnacentral:rRNA from 1 species